rnacentral:rRNA from 1 species
GAUGAACGCUGGCGGCGUGCCUAAUACAUGCAAGUCGAACGCGAGCACUUGUGCUCGAGUGGCGAACGGGUGAGUAAUACAUAAGUAACCUGCCUCAAAGAGGGGACAACAGGUUGGAAACGACUGCUAAUACCGCAUAAGCCCACGACCCGGCAUCGGGUUGAGGGAAAAGGAGCAAUCCGCUUUGAGAUGGCCUCGCGUCCGAUUAGCUAGUUGGUGAGGUAACGGCCCACCAAGGCGACGAUCGGUAGCCGGACUGAGAGGUUGAACGGCCACAUUGGGACUGAGACACGGCCCAG